AGCUUGCUACCUGACCUAGCGGCGGACGGGUGAGUAAUGCUUAGGAAUCUGCCUAUUAGUGGGGGACAACAUUCCGAAAGGAAUGCUAAUACCGCAUACGCCCUACGGGGGAAAGCAGGGGAUCUUCGGACCUUGCGCUAAUAGAUGAGCCUAAGUCAGAUUAGCUAGUUGGUGGGGUAAAGGCCUACCAAGGCGACGAUCUGUAGCGGGUCUGAGAGGAUGAUCCGCCACACUGGGACUGAGACACGGCCCAGACUCCUACGGGAGGCAGCAGUGGGGAAUAUUGGACAAUGGGCGAAAGCCUGAUCCAGCCAUGCCGCGUGUGUGAAGAAGGCCUUUUGGUUGUAAAGCACUUUAAGCGAGGAGGAGGCUACUUGGAUUAAUACUCUAGGAUAGUGGACGUUACUCGCAGAAUAAGCACCGGCUAACUCUGUGCCAGCAGCCGCGGUAAUACAGAGGGUGCGAGCGUUAAUCGGAUUUACUGGGCGUAAAGCGUGCGUAGGCGGCUUUUUAAGUCGGAUGUGAAAUCCCUGAGCUUAACUUAGGAAUUGCAUUCGAUACUGGGAAGCUAGAGUAUGGGAGAGGAUGGUAGAAUUCCAGGUGUAGCGGUGAAAUGCGUAGAGAUCUGGAGGAAUACCGAUGGCGAAGGCAGCCAUCUGGCCUAAUACUGACGCUGAGGUACGAAAGCAUGGGGAGCAAACAGGAUUAGAUACCCUGGUAGUCCAUGCCGUAAACGAUGUCUACUAGCCGUUGGGGCCUUUGAGGCUUUAGUGGCGCAGCUAACGCGAUAAGUAGACCGCCUGGGGAGUACGGUCGCAAGACUAAAACUCAAAUGAAUUGACGGGGGCCCGCACAAGCGGUGGAGCAUGUGGUUUAAUUCGAUGCAACGCGAAGAACCUUACCUGGUCUUGACAUAGUAAGAACUUUCCAGAGAUGGAUUGGUGCCUUCGGGAACUUACAUACAGGUGCUGCAUGGCUGUCGUCAGCUCGUGUCGUGAGAUGUUGGGUUAAGUCCCGCAACGAGCGCAACCCUUUUCCUUAUUUGCCAGCGGGUUAAGCCGGGAACUUUAAGGAUACUGCCAGUGACAAACUGGAGGAAGGCGGGGACGACGUCAAGUCAUCAUGGCCCUUACGACCAGGGCUACACGCGUGCUACAAUGGUCGGUACAAAGGGUUGCUACCUAGCGAUAGGAUGCUAAUCUCAAAAAGCCGAUCGUAGUCCGGAUUGGAGUCUGCAACUCGACUCCAUGAAG
rnacentral:rRNA from 1 species